rfam:Triticum aestivum genome assembly, contig: Triticum_aestivum_CS42_TGACv1_scaffold_570595_7AS
CAACUACUCCCUCUAUCCCAAAUUUCUUGUCUUAGAUUUGUCUAGAUACGGAUGUAUCUAAUACUAAAAUGUGACUUGAUACAUCCAUAUCUAGACAAAUCUAAGACAAGAAUUUUGGGACGGAGGGAGUACUUU